UACGUAGGGUGCAAGCGUUGUCCGGAAUUAUUGGGCGUAAAGAGCUCGUAGGCGGUUUGUCGCGUCUGCUGUGAAAUCUGGGGCUCAACCCCAGCCUGCAGUGGGUACGGGCAGACUAGAGUGCGGUAGGGGAGAUUGGAAUUCCUGGUGUAGCGGUGGAAUGCGCAGAUAUCAGGAGGAACACCGAUGGCGAAGGCAGAUCUCUGGGCCGUAACUGACGCUGAGGAGCGAAAGCAUGGGGAGCGAAUAGG
rnacentral:rRNA from 1 species